rnacentral:rRNA from 1 species
UACGUAGGGUGCAAGCGUUGUCCGGAAUUAUUGGGCGUAAAGAGCUCGUAGGCGGUUUGUCGCGUCUGCUGUGAAAACUCAGGGCUUAACCCUGAGCCUGCAGUGGGUACGGGCAGACUAGAGUGUGGUAGGGGAGAUCGGAAUUCCUGGUGUAAGCGGUGGAAUGCGCAGAUAUCAGGAGGAACACCAAUAGCGAAGGCA